AUGUAUUCACAUACACUCCGGUUCCUGCGCUGCUCUUCAUCUUGCUUACGGCCUCUCGCGACGGGUCGUAAACC
rnacentral:sRNA from 1 species